rnacentral:rRNA from 1 species
AGCGAACGCUGGCGGCAGGCCUAACACAUGCAAGUCGAACGAAGUCUUCGGACUUAGUGGCGGACGGGUGAGUAACACGUGGGAACGUGCCUUUAGGUUCGGAAUAACUCAGGGAAACUUGUGCUAAUACCGAAUGUGCCCUUCGGGGGAAAGAUUUAUCGCCUUUAGAGCGGCCCGCGUCUGAUCAGCUAGUUGGUGAGGUAAAGGCUCACCAAGGCUACGAUCUAUAGCUGGUCUGAGAGGAUGAUCAGCCACACUGGGACUGAGACACGGCCCAGACUCCUACGGGAGGCAGCAGUGGGGAAUCUUGCGCAAUGGGCGAAAGCCUGACGCAGCCAUGCCGCGUGAAUGAUGAAGGUCUUAGGAUUGUAAAAUUCUUUCACCGGGGACGAUAAUGACGGUACCCGGAGAAGAAGCCCCGGCUAACUUCGUGCCAGCCGCCGCGGUAACAC